rnacentral:rRNA from 1 species
CACGUAGGGCGCAAGCGUUGUCCGGAAUUAUUGGGCGUAAAGGGCGCGUAGGCGGUUGGAUAAGUCUUGUGUGAAAUCUUCGGGCUCAACUCGAAGUCUGCACGAGAAACUAUCUGGCUUGAGUGUGGGAGAGGUGAGUGGAAUUCCUGGUGUAGCGGUGAAAUGCGUAGAUAUCAGGAGGAACACCUGUGGCGAAAGCGGCUCACUGGACCACAACUGACGCUGAGGCGCGAAAGCUAGGGGAGCAAACAGG